ACAGCAGUAGCCACGGUAAUACGGAGGGUGCAAGCGUUAUCCGGAUUUAUUGGGUUUAAAGGGUCCGUAGGCGGACUUAUAAGUCAGUGGUGAAAGCCUGUCGCUUAACGAUAGAACUGCCAUUGAUACUGUAAGUCUUGAGUAUAUUUGAGGUAGCUGGAAUAUGUAGUGUAGCGGUGAAAUGCAUAGAUAUUACUUAGAACACCAAUUGCGAAGGCAGGUUACCAAGAUAUAACUGACGCUGAGGGACGAAAGCGUGGGUAGCGAACAGGAUUAGAGACCCCAGUAGUCCCUGUCUCUUAUAC
rnacentral:rRNA from 1 species